AAGGAGAGCUCCAGAAAUGAAAAAGGGAACGAGAGUGUCAACAAAGGAGGAAGGAGGAGAGACUUAAUUGAGAUAAUUUUAGCUGUUCAGAACAGCACAGGCAAUCUGCAAAACCAUUUGGAGAGGAAAAAGGAAAAGGGAACAACCUUAGCAAAGGGCUCCGGAAUCUGUACCAAAUAAGGAGAAAAUGGGGAAAGGAGGAGGAAAAGGAGAUCCAAGGACCAGGGCCAUGAUCUACUAUCCAUCCUGCAUCUCAUCCGGUUCCUUGGAGAAGACGUUCAAGACAAUACCUAUUAUUAAAAAGGACAUACUUUUUAAUCAAUGGCAAAAAGAUUUAUCAAGGCUCAGUUGGCAAAGAAAGCAAGCAAGAGUGAAGAUGAAAACAUCACAAGAUGCGAAAUGAUGAGGUGAUCUUGGAUUACUGCCUUUGAAAAUAUACUUCACUGCAUGUUGU